AACCACAGCUAUAUCACCCUGCAGCCCAAGACUGGUUGCCCACUGAAGCUAAGCAGGGUUGAGCCUGGUCAGUUCUUGGGUGGGAGACCUCCUGGGAAAACUAGGUUGUUAGUUA
rnacentral:rRNA from 1 species